GAUGAACGCUGGCGGCGUGCUUAACACAUGCAAGUCGAACGGGAAAUAUUUCAUUGAGACUUCGGUGGAUUUGAUUUAUUUCUAGUGGCGGACGGGUGAGUAACGCGUGGGUAACCUGCCUUAUACAGGGGGAUAACAGUCAGAAAUGGCUGCUAAUACCGCAUAAGCGCACAGAGCUGCAUGGCUCAGUGUGAAAAACUCCGGUGGUAUAAGAUGGACCCGCGUUGGAUUAGCUAGUUGGUGGGGUAACGGCCCACCAAGGCGACGAUCCAUAGCCGGCCUGAGAGGGUGAACGGCCACAUUGGGACUGAGACACGGCCCAGACUCCUACGGGAGGCAGCAGUGGGGAAUAUUGCACAAUGGGGGAAACCCUGAUGCAGCGACGCCGCGUGAAGGAAGAAGUAUCUCGGUAUGUAAACUUCUAUCAGCAGGGAAGAUAGUGACGGUACCUGACUAAGAAGCCCCGGCUAAUUACGUG
rnacentral:rRNA from 1 species